rnacentral:ncRNA from 2 species
UGUUUUCUCUCAGGCUGGCAUUG